GCCCCUGUGGUGUAGUGGUAACGCGCUCCGACGCUGCCUCCCCGUGAUGUACCUGCACUGGAGAGAUGCCUGUCUUCCGAGGCGGGCGCGGAGAACGAGUACAUUACGGGGUCCGGGGAGAGACCUCGGUUCGAAUCCGAGCAGAAGCA
rnacentral:tRNA from 1 species